CAGCCGCCACGGGAAUACGUAGGGUGCGAGCGUUAAUCGGAAUUACUGGGCGUAAAGCGUGCGCAGGCGGUUCGUUAAGACAGAUGUGAAAUCCCCGGGCUUAACCUGGGAACUGCAUUUGUGACUGGCGAGCUAGAGUAUGGCAGAGGGGGGUAGAAUUCCACGUGUAGCAGUGAAAUGCGUAGAGAUGUGGAGGAAUACCGAUGGCGAAGGCAGCCCCCUGGGCCAAUACUGACGCUCAUGCACGAAAGCGUGGGGAGCAAACAGGAUUAGAUACCCGUGUAGUCCCUGUCUCUUAUAC
rnacentral:rRNA from 1 species